rnacentral:rRNA from 1 species
CCUACGGGUGGCAGCAGUGAGGAAUAUUGGUCAAUGGCCGGAAGGCUGAACCAGCCAAGCCGCGUGAGGGAGGAAGGCGCAGAGCGUCGCAGACCUCUUUUGCCGGGGGACAAAAGGCCGGACUCGUCCGGUCCUGAGGGUACCCGGAGAAAAAGCAUCGGCUAACUCCGUGCCAGCAGCCGCGGUAAUACGUAGGGGGCAAGCGUUAUCCGGAUUUACUGGGUGUAAAGGGAGCGUAGACGGCAAUACAAGUCGGAAGUGAAAUACCCGGGCUCAACCUGGGAACUGCUUUGGAAACUGUAUGGCUGGAGUGCUGGAGAGGUAAGCGGAAUUCCUAGUGUAGCGGUGAAAUGCGUAGAUAUUAGGAGGAACACCAGUGGCGAAGGCGGCUUACUGGACAGUAACUGACGUUGAGGCUCGAAAGCGUGGGGAGCAAACAGGAUUAGAUACCCCAGUAGUC